UAGGGAAUCUUCGGCAAUGGACGAAAGUCUGACCGAGCAACGCCGCGUGAGUGAAGAAGGUUUUCGGAUCGUAAAACUCUGUUGUUAGAGAAGAACAAGGACGUUAGUAACUGAACGUCCCCUGACGGUAUCUAACCAGAAAGCCACGGCUAACUACGUGCCAGCAGCCGCGGUAAUACGUAGGUGGCAAGCGUUGUCCGGAUUUAUUGGGCGUAAAGCGAGCGCAGGCGGUUUCUUAAGUCUGAUGUGAAAGCCCCCGGCUCAACCGGGGAGGGUCAUUGGAAACUGGGAGAGUUGAGAGCAGAAGAGGAGAGUGGAAUUCCAUGUGUAGCGGUGAAAUGCGUAGAUAUAUGGAGGAACACCAGUGGCGAAGGCGGCUCUCUGGUCUGUAACUGACGCUGAGGCUCGAAAGCGUGGGGAGCAAACAGG
rnacentral:rRNA from 1 species